rnacentral:rRNA from 1 species
UGAGACACGGACCAAACUCCUACGGGAGGCAGCAGUGAGGAAUAUUGGUCAAUGGCCGAGAGGCUGAACCAGCCAAGUCGCGUGAGGGAUGAAGGUUCUAUGGAUCGUAAACCUCUUUUAUAAGGGAAUAAAGUGCGGGACGUGUCCCGUUUUGUAUGUACCUUAUGAAUAAGGAUCGGCUAACUCCGUGCCAGCAGCCGCGGUAAUACGGAGGAUCCGAGCGUUAUCCGGAUUUAUUGGGUUUAAAGGGUGCGUAGGCGGCCUUUUAAGUCAGCGGUGAAAGUCUGUGGCUCAACCAUAGAAUUGCCGUUGAAACUGGGGGGCUUGAGUAUGUUUGAGGCAGGCGGAAUGCGUGGUGUAGCGGUGAAAUGCAUAGAUAUCACGCAGAACCCCGAUUGCGAAGGCAGCCUGCCAAGCCAUGACUGACGCUGAUGCACGAAAGCGUGGGGAUCAAACAGGAUUAGAUACCCUGGUAGUCCACGCAGUAAACGAUGAUCACUAGCUGUUUGCGAUACACUGUAAGCGGCACAGCGAAAGCGUUAAGUGAUCCACCUGGGGAGUACGCCGGCAACGGUGAAACUCAAAGGAAUUGACGGGGGCCCGCACAAGCGGAGGAACAUGUGGUUUAAUUCGAUGAUACGCGAGGAACCUUACCCGGGCUUGAAUUGCAACUGAAUGAUGUGGAGACAUGUCAGCCGCAAGGCAGUUGUGAAGGUGCUGCAUGGUUGUCGUCAGCUCGUGCCGUGAGGUGUCGGCUUAAGUGCCAUAACGAGCGCAACCCUUGCCACUAGUUACUAACAGGUAAAGCUGAGGACUCUGGUGGGACUGCCAGCGUAAGCUGCGAGGAAGGCGGGGAUGACGUCAAAUCAGCACGGCCCUUACAUCCGGGGCGACACACGUGUUACAAUGGCGUGGACAAAGGGAGGCCACCUGGUGACAGGGAGCGAAUCCCCAAACCACGUCUCAGUUCGGAUCGGAGUCUGCAACCCGACUCCGUGAAGCUGGAUUCGCUAGUAAUCGCGCAUCAGCCAUGGCGCGGUGAAUACGUUCCCGGGCCUUGUACACACCGCCCGUCAAGCCAUGGGAGCCGGGGGUACCUGAAGUCCGUAACCGCGAGGAUCGGCCUAGGGUAAAACUGGUGACUGGGGCUAAGUCGUAACAAGGUAGCCGUACCGGAAGGUGCGGCUG